rnacentral:lncRNA from 12 species
AUUUAAGACAUAAUUUUUACCCAUCGUGAUUUUGCUGUUUUAUGUGUUAUAGGGGAGUUGAAGAAACCCAGAAAGAUGAUUCCAAGAUGCAUAUUUACUGCAUUACCUCUGGUGACUAUCAUAUAUCUAUAGAACUAAUCUUUGAGUAGCUAUUACUGUUUCGGUAAAUCUUUGAAGCACUGAACGGGAAAUCUAAGAGAGGUUUAAUGUAAGUGUCCUAACACAUUUGCCCUCCAUUCUCGUGUUAGUGUCAUGCAGGAAGC